rnacentral:ribozyme from 1 species
UGCUCAGCAACUCCUAUCCCUAUCCCUCCGCGUGGCAGCGGCCGGGCUGUGAGCAACUUUAGAGAAGAUCGGGUAACCAGCCACGGUGGGAACUUUGGUCGUAGGCUGACAGGGAAGA